rnacentral:rRNA from 1 species
AACGCUGAGAGUUUGAUCCUGGCUCAGGACGAACGCUGGCGGUGCGCUUAAUGCAUGCAAGUCGAACGGUGAAAUCCCGGCUUGCCGGGAUGGAUCAGUGGCGGACGGCUGAGUAACGCGUAAGCAACCUACCCUUGAGUGGGGAACAACUCCGGGAAACCGGAGCUAAUACCGCAUGAGAUCGCCGAUCGCAUGGUCGGUUCUGAAAGCUGCGGCUUGCCGUGGCGCUCGAGGAUGGGCUUGCGUCCUAUCAGGUUGUUGGUGGGGUAACGGCCUACCAAGCCUAUGACGGGUAGCUGGUCUGAGAGGACGAUCAGCCAGAGGGGGACUGAGACACGGCCCCCACUCCUACGGGAGGCAGCAGCAGGGAAUCUUGCGCAAUGGGCGAAAGCCUGACGCAGCGACACCGCGUGGAGGAAGAAGGCCUUCGGGUCGUAAACUCCUUUUCUGGGGGAAGAGAGAGGACGGUACCCUAGGAAUAAGCCUCGGCUAACUACGUGCCAGCAGCCGCGGUAAUACGUAGGAGGCGAGCGUUGUCCGGAUUUACUGGGCGUAAAGGGGGUGUAGGCGGUUC